UGGGGAAUUUUGGACAAUGGGCGAAAGCCUGAUCCAGCAAUGCCGCGUGUGUGAAGAAGGCCUUCGGGUUGUAAAGCACUUUUGUCCGGAAAGAAAUCCUUGGCUCUAAUACAGUCGGGGGAUGACGGUACCGGAAGAAUAAGCACCGGCUAACUACGCGCCAGCAGCCGCGGUAAUACGUAGGGUGCAAGCGUUAAUCGGAAUUACUGGGCGUAAAGCGUGCGCAGGCGGUUUGCUAAGACCGAUGUGAAAUCCCCGGGCUCAACCUGGGAACUGCAUUGGUGACUGGCAGGCUAGAGUAUGGCAGAGGGGGGUAGAAUUCCACGUGUAGCAGUGAAAUGCGUAGAGAUGUGGAGGAAUACCGAUGGCGAAGGCAGCCCCCUGGGCCAAUACUGACGCUCAUGCACGAAAGCGUGGGGAGCAAACAGGAUUAGAUACCCUGGUAGUCCACGCCCUAAAACGAUGUCAACUAGUUGUUGGGGAUUCAUUUCCUUAGUAACGUAGCUAACGCGUGAAGUUGACCGCCCGGGGAGUACGGUCGCAAGAUUAAAACUCAAAGGAAUUGACGGGGUC
rnacentral:rRNA from 1 species